rnacentral:rRNA from 1 species
UACGGGGGGGGCAAGCGUUGUUCGGAAUUACUGGGCGUAAAGGGCUUGUAGGCGGCCAACUAAGUCCGACGUGAAAUCCCCAGGCUUAACCUGGGAACUGCGUCGGAUACUGGAUGGCUUGAAUUCGGGAGAGGGAUGCAGAAUUCCAGGUGUAGCGGUGAAAUGCGUAGAUAUCUGGAGGAAUACCGGUGGCGAAGGCGGCAUCCUGGACCGACAUUGACGCUGAGGGGCGAAAGCCAGGGGAGCAAACGGG